CAAGCCCCUGUGAUUGGUUAGAAACCAGGAAGUUGUGAGUUGGGAUUUCGGUCCCCACUUCCUUUUUCUGCAAACACACACACUUUUUUGUGGCGGGAGGCGUUCUGCCUGAUGCCCCGGCCGUGGGCUCUCGGAGCCUCGCUCCCGGACGAGCCGGGCCUGGUGGGAGCCCCGGGCCACCUCCCCCCGGUCAGACGCAGGACCUCCAGGCGGGGGGACAGAGCAGCCUUUGCUGGGAGUGGAGGGGCUGGCCGGCCGCCUGCUCCGACAUCAGGAUCGUCCUCCUCUCUGGUGCUCCUGGCUGCUCCGCCCGGCGACCCCAUGAGCUUGUCGGAGGACCCAAGCCAGCUCGGCCCAUCUCCACCCCUGCCCCUCACAUCCCAGCUCAAAAGCAGUGGAGACUCGGCGAGCAUCUCCUGAUUAAAUGGCACAGGCUGCCAGGAAGGACUCGGAGCCUCUCACCCUGUGGGUGACGGUGACAGCAGCUGAAAGGCAGUGUGACAACUGGAGGAGACAUGGAGGACAGAUGACAUCAAGCCCUAAGUGAGGAACGUCACCCCGAACUUCCGGCCUGUUCUUCGUGAUUUGCACAGACUUUCAUCUCGGUUACUUGACUGAGCCCCGCGGCAGCCGGAGGGAGGCGACCCGGCCAGGGUUCCCCGCGCCCAGUGGAGCAGGGCUCUCCCCAGGGGCAGGGCCAGGAGACAUUUGCUUCAGAGAAUCGGCUCAGGUGCACCCCAGAUCCAUAGGGCAGGUUGCACUGCUCCCACCCUGCGUUUUCAGCCUGGGCUUCUAGAACAAACCCCCGUAGGCUGGAUGGUUUACAAACAAUAAAAAUGUUCUCACAGUU